rnacentral:rRNA from 1 species
UGGGGAAUAUUGCACAAUGGGCGCAAGCCUGAUGCAGCCAUGCCGCGUGUAUGAAGAAGGCCUUCGGGUUGUAAAGUACUUUCAGCGGGGAGGAAGGCGAUAAGGUUAAUAACCUUGUCGAUUGACGUUACCCGCAGAAGAAGCACCGCCUAACUCCGUGCCAGCAGCCGCGGUAAUACGGAGGGUGCAAGCGUUAAUCGGAAUUACUGGGCGUAAAGCGCACGCAGGCGGUCUGUCAAGUCGGAUGUGAAAUCCCCGGGCUCAACCUGGGAACUGCAUUCGAAACUGGCAGGCUAGAGUCUUGUAGAGGGGGGUAGAAUUCCAGGUGUAGCGGUGAAAUGCGUAGAGAUCUGGAGGAAUACCGGUGGCGAAGGCGGCCCCCUGGACAAAGACUGACGCUCAGGUGCGAAAGCGUGGGGAGCAAACA